GGGGAGGUGGCUCAGUGGUAGAGUGCUUGCCUUGCAAACAUGAGGCCCUGGGUUUAAUUCCUCAGCACCACCA
rfam:Dipodomys ordii contig_52462, whole genome shotgun sequence.